rnacentral:lncRNA from 1 species
UAAACUCUAAAUGUUAGUGAAUCUAUAGUUUUGAUGGGAUACGAAUUCUAUGAAUCUAAUUUUAAUGAUCCAACCGUCAAAAUUGUUUGUAUAUGCUUCGAAAUCGCAUAAGCCAAAAAUCACAAAAAACAAACAUUCAGAGAUCAAGUAAUGAGACAAAACUUUUCAACGGUUAUAAAACAAAAAAUCACGAUUUAACAGUUAUGUUAAUUCCGAUUUUGAUGAUUUUUUACAACUACACUACUUGACCCUAUACGAUUAUAAUGAAUGAAUUUGAUCGUCAAUUUAAAAUAUUUACACAAGUGGAUAUCACAAAUCUUAUGUUAUACUUAAUGAAAGUAUAAAUAAACUCUAAGUGUGAGUGAAUCUAUAGUUUUGAUGGGAUACGAGUUCUAUGAAUCUAAUUUUAACGAUUCAACCGUCAAACUUGUUUGUAUAUGCUUCGAGAUCGCAUACGCCAAAAAUCACAAAAAAACAAACAUUCAGUGAACAAGUAAUGAGACAAAACUUUUCGACGGUUAUAAAACAAAAAAUCACGAUUUAAUGGUUAUUUUAACUUCGAUUUUGAUGUUUUUUUUACAACUACACUCCUUAACCCUAUACGAAUACAAUGAAUGAAUUUGAUUGUCAAUUUAAAAUAUUUACACAAGUGGAUACCACAAAAAUCUUAUGUUAUACUUAAUGAAUGUAUAAAUAAACUCUAAGUGUUAGUGAAUCUAUUGUUUUGAUGGGAUACGAAUUCUAUGAAACUAAUUUUAACGAUCCAACCGUCAAACUUGUUUGUAUAUGCUUCAAGAUCGCAUACACCAAAAAUCACAAAAAACAAAAAUCAGAGAUUAAGUAAUGAGACAAAACGUUUUGACGGUUAUAAAACAAAAAAUCACGAUUUAACGGUUAUUUUAACUCCAAUUUUGAUGAUUUUUUACAACUACAGUCCUUGACCCUAUACGAAUACAAUGAAUGAAUUUGAUCAUCAAUUUAAAUUAUUUACACAAGUGGAUACCACAAAAUCUUAUGUUAUACUUAAUGAAAGUAUAUAAAUAAACUCUAAAUGUUAGUGAAUCUAUAGUUUUGAUGGGAUACGAAUUCUAUGAAACUAAUUUUAACGAUCCAACCGUCAAACUUAUUUGUAUAUGCUUCUAGAUCGCAUAUGCCAAAAAUCACAAAAAAAUUCAGAGAUCAAGAAAUAAGACAACUUUUGGAUGGUUAUAAAACAAAAAAGCACGAUUUAACGGUUAUUUUAACUCCGAUUUUGAUGAUUUUUUACAAUUACACUCCUUGACCCUAUACGAAUACAAUGAAUGAAUUUAAUCGUCAAUUUAAAAUAUUUGCACAAGUGGAUACCACAAAAUCUUAUGUUAUACUUAAUGAAAGUGUAAAUAAACUCUAAAUGUUAGUGAAUCUAUCGUUUUGAUGGGAUACGAAUUCUAUGAAACUAAUUUUAAUGAUCCAACCGUCAAACUUGUUUGUAUAUGCUUCGAGAUUGCAUACACCAAAAAUCACAAAAAAUAAACAUUCAGAGAUCAAGUAAUGAGACAAAGCUGUUCGACGGUUAUAAAACAAAAAAUCAUGAUUUAAUGGUUAUUUUAACUCCGAUUUUGAUGAUUUUUUACAACUACACUCCUUGACCCUAUACGAAUACAAUGAAUGAAUUUGAUCGUCAAUUUAAAAUAUUUACACAAGUGGAUACCACAAAAUCUUAUGUUAUACUUAAUGAAAGUAUAAAUAAAGUGUUAGUGAAUCUAUCGUUUUGAUGGGAUACGAAUUCUAUGAAACUAAUUUUAACGAUCCAACCGUCAAACUUGUUUUUUAUUAGGCUCUUAUUUUCGAGUGUAGAUGUAGUACUUAAAUGACAAAUCUGUUUUAAUGUUUUGAAGUAAUAUUUAUGUGGUAAUGUGUGGUAUGUGCAAAUUUAA